rnacentral:rRNA from 1 species
UACGUAGGGGGCAAGCGUUGUCCGGAAUCAUUGGGCGUAAAGAGCGUGUAGGCGGCUCGAUAAGUCUGCUGUGAAAGUCCAGGGCUCAACCCUGGAAGGCCGGUGGAAACUGUCGGGCUAGAGUCCGGAAGAGGCGAGUGGAAUUCCUGGUGUAGCGGUGAAAUGCGCAGAUAUCAGGAGGAACACCAAUGGCGAAGGCAGCUCGCUGGGACGUGACUGACGCUGAGACGCGAAAGCGUGGGGAGCAAACAGG